GAUAGAUUCUUCUCUCUCUGGUGUCAUUGGGCCACAGGGCCCCAUUUCUGCAAUUUAGCUACAGAUGUUCUUUGUUUGUACCAACCAAGACAAAGGGACAACUCUUCUCUUAUGAAAGCUUCACAGGGAGACAGCCUCCAUAACCCGCCAGAGGAGAUCCUUUCAAUGCUUUCUCACUCAAAUCUUGCAAAGACCUUCUUUUGUCCAAUGGCAAGCGCUCUGGAUAUGACUUGAACAUGCUUCCUUUUGUUUCUCUAUAGACAUGGAGUAUAAUCGUUUAUUUAUUUGAUUAUUUAUAGUGUUUACAGAAGAAAUCUCAGUGGACUAAAGAGCUAUGCUCAAGUCAUUCUCUUCUGUAGGUAAACACCUCCAGUUCCUUUAACCUUUCCUUGCAGUAACUCUUUCUCAUCCCUUUAAUCGCGUUGGCUGUUCGUCUCUUGCCAAAAGAAGAGAGAGCAGAUUAAUUCAUGCCGGGGCAUGAGGAAUCUCUGUUGAUAUGUGCGCUGUGCAUGUGACUCCCAGCAGUCUGACUUCACGGACAGCGUCUAUUUCUGGAACAUGCAAAGUAUGGCAGGAGAGAAUGUCAAAGCAUCCGACAGCCAAAAGGUGGCGCUCCUCACCCACCAUUCAUUUCCUUCCAAGAUUUGCCUGGCCCCUCAACACUAUUGCGGGCACCUCCUGUUGGGGCAUGGCAUGAAUUGGGUGCAGCAUGACGGCAAAAUGGCGUUGGAUUCGAGAAGGAAUUCAAGGACACGUCGCUGAGAAUGAAAUCGGAGCAGCACUUUGGAAAGAAGGAAGCCCCCAGUUGUUUGAUGCAGGAUGCGUGGAAUUCAUUUUCUCUUUCAAGUGUUAGUUGCCUCAAGAGAAAAAGGACCAAAAAUAUGGCAUCUCCUUGGGUACUUGAUCACCAUGCACAUGUGACGAGACAGAGAAAGAGCUGGAGAGGCAGAGCACAAGGGGGGAGAGGGAGGGGAACACUGAUUCAUUAUUCAGGUCCUUGGGAGUCUCUUGGUGGUUUAUUUAUUGUGAGGAGCCAGAAAACAAAUCCAUUCUAAACUUUCUCCUUUCCUGGCAGAUUUUUCAAAGCUGAGCUUUCUCUGCUGACUGUGCAUGUCCUUUUAUCAUGUGUUUGGUUUUCCAAUAUCAAGCCAUUUCACAAAGAAGAGAGAACAUUUACUUUCAAUUAAUAAGCCACCCGGCAAUUACCCUUUGCUCAUAAGCAUGUGAAUGCUUCUGUGUGCGCAGAUGAUAGCUUCCACAUUAAACAGCUGUCCCCAGUAGCUUCAAAAGGCUGUCCCCCCUCCUCACGGUGUUUUCCAAUUCGCCUUCUUCCCCGGCACCAAGGUUAUGCCUGCUCACUGGAAGGUCUGCAGAUGGACACCCUCAUGGCUAUGAAUACACAUUUCAUAUUCACUUACAAACCAAGAAUACAUAUUUUGUUUUCAAUGCCUUGUGAAGAUUUUUGUCUUUGACACCUGUAAAUUGGGCGACUUACUCUCACUGAUCCUAAUGGCUGUCUUCUUGUAUAAAGUAUAAUUAUGCUUUGAAAAGGAGCAGUCAUUGGUUUCAACGAAAUGAGUGGUUAUUUUGAAGACAGUUGGUCCUCUGGGCUAAUUCUCUUGGUUGUGUCUAUGUUUGAAGCUUCAGGACUGUGUAGAUACAGAACGACUUGUAAAUUCCUUGAGCGCAGUUCUGACUUCUCUCAUCUUUGCAUUCGCGUAAGAAAACAGUCAGGAACGUAAUAGGCCAUGAUAUCCCUAUCUAGAUACAGGUAUAAAUAAAGAGGUAAUAUAGAGAACUAUAUUUAAGCUG
rnacentral:lncRNA from 1 species